rnacentral:rRNA from 1 species
UACGUAGGGGGCAAGCGUUGUCCGGAUUUAUUGGGCGUAAAGAGCGUGUAGGCGGCCAGACAGGUCCGUUGUGAAAACUCGAGGCUCAACCUCGAGACGCCGAUGGAAACCGUCUGGCUAGAGUCCGGAAGAGGAGAGUGGAAUUCCUGGUGUAGCAGUGAAAUGCGCAGAUAUCAGGAAGAACACCCGUGGCUAAGGCGGCUCUCUAGUACGGUACUGACGCUGAGACGCGAAAGCGUGGGGAGCGAACAGG